CAGAACAAUCGAGCAGGUACUCGGCUGGCUUACCCCCGCCCCGCCCACGCUCACUGCUAGUCGCUAGCCCGUGUCCACCGACAGUGCCGCUACGGUCAGCCUCGUGCAGCUUGUACCCCGCCGCUGCCGCCUGACGCCCCGCGCGGACCGGGGUUCUGGGGGAGACCCUCAUCUAUACUAUCUGAGUGCAGAUUGGUCGAGGCUGGGACUGGCGAAGAUUGCCGAAAGGCGACGGGGAGGAGGAGGAUGUCAUCGCUGGAGUGAGCAAGCAGAUCUCGCGGGAGGAAAUGUCGCGAGAUCUCAGCAGCCCUGCAACCGCCGAAGAAAGGUUACUUUUCCCGGAAGUAACGUCAGUGGAAACGCCCAAGAUCCUGGGAAUAAGCUUGUUCUUGCCGGUGGGAGGGGCUACUUGGUAUUCUCUCUGAAGUUUUCUCCAGGUAGUGGGCCUACCCUGAAACCAGCUUGGGCAGGGGCGAGUCCUUGUACGUGCCAACUUGGAGACAUCUCCUAUUCGUCUUCCCGACGACGCUGUCCACCUUGGGCGCAAGGUUGUUGGCGCAGAGGCGCUUUCACCUUCCAUACACUUUGCUUUUCCCCGAUGGGACCGAGUCUCUCUCUAGCUCAGGCUAGCAUCAAGCUCGGGGAAAGUCUCCUGCCUCAGCAUCCCGAGUACUGACUGAUGUUGCUGUCUUCUGUACUUAAUCCACUCGUUUCCAAGACGUACAAGGAAUUGUUGGACUUCACCCUUUCGUUUUCUGCAAGAAUCACUUGUCGGUUUAAUAUUAUCUGUUUUGUCUGUACUGUGCCUUGAGUAACUCACUCCAUUUGGGUCCAAGUUGCAUCCUUUGAAACUGAUCUGCUUAAAUUAAAGACUAGAAAAAAAAAGAA